rnacentral:lncRNA from 1 species
AUUCCAGUAGGAUGNUGUGGUGUGGGUCACAGACGCGGCUCGGAUCCCGAGUUGCUAUGGCUCUGGUGUAGGACAGAAGCUGUAGCUCCAAUUUGACCCCUAGCCUGGGAGCCUACAUAUGCCGUGGGUGUGGCCCUAAAAACCAAAAUAAAAAUAAAAUUAAAAUCGAGAAUAGACAAAAAAAAUUGAGAAAGAACGACAUUGGAGGAUUUACACUGAUUUUAAGACUUACCACAAAGCUAUAGUAAUCGACACUGUGGUAAUUGUGCGGAGACAGGCAUAUGGACCCACGGAACAGAACAGAGAGUCUAAAAAUAGACCACACACAUAUGGUCAAUUGCUUUCUGUCCAGGCUGCCAAGGAAUUUCAAUGGAGAGAGGGCAGUCUUUCCACAAAGUGGUGCUGGGAUAACUGGAUAUCCAUAUGGAAAAACAGGGACACUUACCUUACUCCAUGUAAAAAAUUAACCCCAAAUGGAUCUUAUACCUAGCUGUGAAAACUAACACUAUAAAAUUUCCAGGAGGAAAUCUUUGCCAUCUUGAAUUAGGCAUAGAAGUCUUAGACAUGAUCUCCCAAAAAAGCAUAAAUGUAAGAGAAAAAAUGACCAGUUGGACUUCAUCAAAAUCAACAACUUUGAACCUUUGAACAACAUUGUUAAAAAAAUAAAGACAAAGAACGUAUGUGACAUAAAGUACUAGUAUUCAGAACGAACGUGUAAAGAAUUCUUGCAACUCAAGAAUAAGACAAUGACAGGUAAAAAAUGGGGAAAACAUUUGAACAAACAAAAUACACAAUGACAAAACACAAAAAAAAGAUAUUCAGCGUUAGAUUACUAGUCAUAAGGGAACACAAAUUAAGACUACAGAUAUACUGUAACAACCUAAAUGUCCAUUGACAGAGGAGUGGAUCAAGAAGAUGUGGUACAUAUACACAAUGGAAUAUUACUCAGCCAUUAAAAGGAACGAAAUACCAGCAUUUUUAGCAACAUGGAUGGACCUACAAAUUAUCAUGUUAAGCGAAGUCAGUCAGACAGUGAGACACCAACAUCAAAUGCUCUCACUGACAUGUGGAAUCUGAAAAAAGGACAGACUGAACUUCCUUGCAGAACAGAUGCUGACUCAGACAUUGAAAAACUUACGGUCUCUGGAGGAGACAGUGUGGAGGGGCGGGGGGAUGUGCUUGGGUUGUGGGAUGGAAAUCCUGUGAAAUUGGAUUGUUAUGGUCAUUAUACAACUACAGAUGUGAUAAAUUCAUUUGAGUAAAAAAAAAAACUAUAAAGAUACUAACAAUGCUAUUAACAUAUGUAAAGUUAAAAACAAAACAAGGAGGACCAUCCCAAGUGUUGACCAGGAUAUGGAGCAACUGGAACUCUCAAACGUUGCUGCUGACACUGCAAAAUGGUGCAGUCACUUAAGGUAGCCCUUAAUUAAACCUUUUUUUUUUUUUUUUUUUUUUUUUGGCAUGCACCUGCACAUGGAAGUUCCCAGGCUGGGGAUCAAAUCCAAGCUGCAGCUUCAACCAACACCACAGCUGCUGCAAUGCCAGAUCCUUAACCCACAGGGCCACAGCCGAAACUCCAAAGGUAAACCUAUAUUUUCCGUAUGACCCAGCUUUCUGGCUCCUAGAUAUUUAACCCCCCACCCCCUGCAAAAGAGAAAACAUUGCAUAUAACAUAUUUGUAAUAGCCCAAAACUGGUAAACCAUUCCAAAGUCUGUCAACUGAAUGGCUAGUCAAAUUCUAGUGCAUCCAUACAACGCAAGACCCCUCAGCAAUGAAAAGAAACAAAGCACCCAUCCCCUCGCUGAGGAAUCUCAGACGUACCACGCUCAGUGAAAGAAGCUAGACCCCAAAGGAGCCAUGUCAUCUGAUCCUAUUUGUAUGAAAUUGUAGAAUUACAGCAAAGGCAAAACUAUAGAGAGGGGAUCUAACUGUGGGGUCUGAGAGGGAGGGGGAGGGGAGGGGGAUUCUGUAAUGGGUCAUUAAUGAGCUUUUUGAAGUGAUGUAAUUAUUCCAUAUCUUGAUUAUAUUAGUGGUUACAAAACGUACCCAUUUGUCAAAACGCCAGUCAAUUUCGUUUUAUAUAAAUUAGUAAAUCAGAUUUUUUUUUUUUAAGCCAGAGUCCUAGCUUUUGAGCCUCUUCCUAAAUUUAGGAAUGAGCAGUAGGGCUAGGGGUUUGGAAGGAUCUCCUGGGUUCGACAGCCCUUCCCCCAUUUGCAGCAGGUAAAGAUCCCACGUGGGCGCUUCCACCGUCGGCGAUCGGCCCCCACCGGCUGGGCGCGGCCAGCGGAGCACAGGCAGGGUUCAGGGCAUUCCUGAUCUCUCCGCGGCCGUCACUCCUUGACGCCUCGCCCCAGCCAGGCUCUGGGACAUCCUAAUGCACCUCCUCACCUUUGGCUCCAAGCUGCGGCUGUUACUGUUCUUAACGCCCCCCC